rnacentral:rRNA from 1 species
UACGUAGGGACCGAGCGUUGUCCGGAUUCAUUGGGCGUAAAGAGCUCGUAGGCGGCUGUUCAAGUCGAACGUGAAAACUCGGAGCUCAACUCCGAGCCUGCGUUCGAUACUGGACGGCUAGAGUCUGGUAGGGGGAUCUGGAAUUCCUGGUGUAGCGGUGGAAUGCGCAGAUAUCAGGAGGAACACCGGUGGCGAAGGCGGAUCUCUGGGCCUUGCCUGACGCUGAGGCGCGAAAGCUAGGGGAGCGAACAGG